GAUGAAGAACGUAGCGAAAUGCGAUACUUGGUGUGAAUUGCAGAAUCCCGUGAACCAUCGAGUCUUUGAACGCAAGUUGCGCCUCAAGCCAUUAGGUUGAGGGCACGUCUGCCUGGGCGUCACAUAUCGUUGCCUGAUGCCAGUUUCCUCGUGAUGGGUGACUGUGCAGGGCGAAUGAUGGCUUCCCGUGAGCAUUGUUGCCUCAUGGUUGGUUGAAAAUUGAGUCCUUGGUAGGGAGGGCCGUGAUAGAUGGUGGUUGAGUGACGAACGAGACCCAAUCAUGUGAGACCCCUACCGAAUUUGGCCUUCAUGACCCACAUGCGUCUUUGGAACGCUCAUGACGAGACCUCAGGUCAGGCGGGGCUACCCGCUGAGUUUAAGCAUAUCAAUAAGCGGAGGA
rnacentral:misc_RNA from 1 species